rnacentral:misc_RNA from 1 species
GAUGAAGAACGUAGCGAAAUGCGAUACGUAGUGUGAAUUGCAGAAUUCAGUGAAUCAUCGAAUCUUUGAACGCACAUUGCACCUCUCGGUAUUCCAAAGGGCAUGCCUGUUCGAGCGUCAUUUGUACCCUCAAGCUUUGCUUGGUGUUGGGCGUCUUGUCUCUAGCUUUGCUGGAGACUCGCCUUAAAGUAAUUGGCAGCCGGCCUACUGGUUUCGGAGCGCAGCACAAGUCGCACUCUCUAUCAGCAAAGGUCUAGCAUCCAUUAAGCCUUUUUUUCAACUUUUGACCUCGGAUCAGGUAGGGAUACCCGCUGAGCUUAAGCAUAUCAAUAAGCGGAGGA